rnacentral:lncRNA from 1 species
AUCGACCUAGGUUUUAAAGAGUUAAGCCAAGUUUUUUCUUUAUCUUUUAGAGAAAAAGGAAACAAUUUCAACUUAACAAUUUCGUUGGGGCAAGUUUGAUCGUUAAAUGGUGCACUUACUUCCUCAAAUUCUUUAAGAUGCAAAUAUGGACUUUCGGAUUCUAAGCCAUGAAAAUUAGGAAGUAAUGGAAUCAUACCCGGCUUGAAUCGAAAAUUAUUAGCAUUAAUAGGGAAAAUGAAACAUGAAGGAGUAGAAUUUCGAGGAGGUUGCAAGUAAUCACGCAUGGUUCGUGCUUGUUGGUUUUCAUUUUCAUCGUGUACGCUUUCAUUAUCAGCCAUGGUGGAAGAUGUGAGGGAGUGUUGAGGUGAGUCAAAUAAAUUACUAAAGAAAGUUUCACAAUUAUCUUUAACUAAACGAUGAGAAUUUAAUUCACGAUACCAAUAUGACAUAAAAUUACAAAAAGUAGAUAUGACGAACGAAAAUUAGGUGGCACGGCCAACCAUAUAAUAACGUAAAGAACAAAAAUUAGAUGGCAUAGCCAACCAUAUAACAAAGAAACGGCAGAUCGGGAGGCUCGGCCUUCCCUUUAAGGAAAGAAAAUAAAUAGAAAAUAAAAACGAAGGAGACUCGGCCUUCCUUUAAAGUAAAAUAACUAAAGUAAUAAGAUUGAAAAAGGAACGAGUGUACCUGACUUGUGAAGAUUAUGAAAGAGAAAAAAACCUCACAGAAAGUAGCAGAAAAUAAUCCUUUACGCAAAUCCCCGGCAACGGCGCCAAAAACUUGCUACAACUUUAAGGUUGCAAACCCAAGUGCAGGUUGUCGCAAGUAGUAAAUCUCGGAAGUUCGAGGUCGAACCACAGGGAAUUGGAAGGAAAUAAACUAUUCUAUGAGUAAUGAACGGUUGGUGAAAAUACGAUGAAGACAAACACUAGAGCGUUGGGGAUUCACUUCGGAUAAACGAGUAGAAAUUGCCCUUGAUCUUUAAUUUAACUCAUAUGAAAAUCAACUAAG